rnacentral:rRNA from 1 species
UACGGAAGGGGCAAGCGUUGUUCGGAAUCAUUGGGCGUAAAGGGCGCGUAGGCGGUCUCGUAUGUCUGCUGUGAAAUCACAUAGCUCAACUGUGUGAAGUCGGUGGAAACUGGGAGACUUGAGGCUGGGAGAGGCUGGUGGAAUUCCCUGUGUAGCGGUGAAAUGCGUAGAUAUAGGGGAGAACACUCGUGGCGAAGGCGGCUAGCUGGACCAGCCCUGACGCUGAGGCGCGAAAGCUAGGGGAGCAAACGGG